CUGAGGGUAGAGUGUCACCGAGGCAACUCCUGAGGGUAGAGUGUCAACCGAGGCAACUCCUGAGACUAAUGUAUCACCGGAGAACAGUGCUACAUCUGAGCCGAAUCCUGGUGGCGAAAGUCCAGAAGGGGAGGGUUCCCCAAAGGAGAGGGAUAUCCAGCAGGAGAAGGAAUUCCAGAAGGAGAGGGAGAUCCAGAAGGAGAAGGAAAAUUCAGAAGGAAAGGGAGAUCCAGAAGGAGAAGGAAAUUCAGAAGGAGAGGGAGAUCCAGAAGGAGAAGGAAAGUCAGAAGGGGAAUCGGAAGGAGAGUUGUAUCCUGUGGGGCGAGAGGCUUCCAGAAGUUUAUUGGUCCCAAGAAGAUAACAGGACGCCAGAGAACGAGAGACAUCCAGAAAAUGAACCUGAAAAACCUGAACCGGAAGAUAAUAAAAAAACACCACUAUAAAAGAUCUCAGAGAUACGGAUGAUAUCAACUCAGUCAACGAGGCUCUAGAAAAAAACACUGAUAAUUGUACUUAUUUUGUUUACCGUCCUGUUAACAACUUGUGUCUGCUUUCUCUGGAAAGGAAAAUCUCGCAGAAGCAAAAUGGACUUUAAAAAGGAGAUACCAGAGUUCUUUGUCGCAGUCGGUCCAGGGGAGUUCAAGCAGACGGUUAUUCAGCUACCAGCAAAUAAGGAAAAAGUCGGACUUAGCAACUGAAUGUCUUUUAACGACGACAUGUUUUCAAUUUUUCCAUUUAUUUCAUUAAUUGAAUAUAUCCAGAGACUCUCAUGUUUCUUUGCAAUUAUUUAGCGACAUCUUCAUUUCAAGUCCCAGGCGCUUCUGAAUACUUUGUAUAAGUCUGUUUUGCAAAGUUUACUCAUUGACACAU